AGUAUCAGCCGGCCAUAGCCUUUCACCAUCAAGAUGAUGCACGCUCUGUCCUGUGGCUCUCACAUCUUUGUUCCUAUGGAGGAAAACUAGAGCAGAAAUGAAAGAAAGAGCUCAGCUGGACUCAGUCUCCAGAGGACUCACCUUCCCAGCCAAGGCCCAGAUUUCUUCAGCGGAAGUACGCUGUCCUCGGAACAAAAAUAACAACAUUUAAAUGUUAACACUCAAGAACUGUUUUAAAUAGAUUUGCACCUUGGGCAAUCUAUUUGACGUGGAAAUAUUAAAAGUAUUUCCUUCAGCAGAAACUGGUUCCAGGUACAACCCAAUGAACCUGCCCUACUGAGACUAAGUGUUACUGCAGAGAAGGGCAGAGCCUAGGCCCAACACAGUAUGGCUCCCCAACAUGGCUUCCGAAAGCAAAGAAGACCAUAGGCUGAUGUGAACAGCACUUAAAUGCUCACACAAGCUCUAAAACGCCUGAGGUUAACCAUAUCUUUUAGUUGAACUUUAUCGAAUAGUUCAGUGAGCUGUUUUGGUGACCUUCAGAUAGGGCCCGAGUCAAGGGCAGACUACCCUGCACAAACACUGACAAGAAGGCAGGCCCUGAGUGCAGCCUGGGAACUCAGAUGAGGGGAAGAACAUUUUGACAAGGCCAAGUAGCUAAACAGCAAGGGAAGACCCAUUUAGGAGGGAAACUGACGGACUUGCCUAGAUGUGGUAUGAUUUAGGGACUAUUACGAAAAAGUGGCUUCCCAGCUUCAGUUCCUACUUAGCAGUUGUUCACUAAAGUCAAUUUCAAGGUAACGUCUCUCACGUGUGUGCACUCGCAGAGCGCUGUACUAAAGGGCCGCUGUGUGGUGUGAUUGUGGUUGGAAGUUUGAAAAGACACUAGUGGCUGUGGGCAGAGAAGAAAGAGUUGCCUUAGGGUCCAAGAGAGAUCCAGAGGUCAGAAGUCAACAAGAACAAAGGAUAGAAGGACACCCCACAAGAACUGGAGCUGCAGAAAGUCCCAGAAGUCCCGGGCGUGGUAGUGACAUUCAUCCAGCUCAUGGAUGGAGAGUGGAAUCAAUCCCACCCCUCCUGAGCUGAGUCUGUAAGCAGCUGUUCCAAACCCGCCCCCACCUUACAUGCUGGAGUAGCUGACAAGUCAAAUACACACACACACACACACACACACACACACACACACACACACACGUGCACGCGAGCCAGGGUUAGGGACUCAGUAAUGCCCUAAGUGCAUUCUGAUAGAGGUCUCUUUAAGCAGGAGAACCCCGUUGUCAAUGAAUAGUUGCCCAUCUAAUGACUGAUUGGCGCACAGAGUCUCUAAUGACUACUGUUCAUUAGAGAUGACUGGAACAGCAGGACUCUUGGGAACUCUUUUGAAUUCCUCUUAGAGGCUUUAUGAGAGCCCCUGCUCACAGGCUAACACCACUGCCCAGCUUACUGAACCCACAGACUUGACACCACCCCGAGAACCCAGCAGACACAUGAUAAAACUUGGAAGCAUAAAGGCAAAUAUGGAACCCACAUGACAGAGCCGUGCCGCACUGCCAAAACCAUAUGAGAAUCUCCAGAGAGGCAUGCUGGGAAUCAAAUGAGCUCCCGAGAGGUGACUACCUCUGCCAGGAAUGGAGUCGUCAUCGUGGUAGUGCAGAAAAUGAGUAAAUUCACCAUUCAUUCAUCAUUUAAUAAAUUAAUGUUUAUUAAAUACCGAUUAUCCAUACGGCAGCGGAGGAUAAAUGUUUUAUAUACAUCACACCAAUAUGUACAGUUGCCAUGGUUGUACGGGAAAACUGACACUUUGGCAAGUCAAGAGGCCACGUGGAGCUAUAUGACACAUCAAAUACCGUGCCACCAGCGACAAUCAGACGUGGCAGCCAACUCCAGGGCUCUUCUUAAAAUUACUUUUUUCUUUUUAUAUUAUUCUCAAGAGUCUCAACUCAAGCACUUGAUAUUUUGAAAACUCUCCACCUCUACAGACAUAAGGGAAGGCUGCUGCCGUUGCUAUCCAUAGAAGGAGAUUGCCAAUUCUCACUCUUAUGGAGAACAUAAUUAAGACGUUCAGGGAAGUCUCAGGUGGUUAUGGCAAAGUAUUCUCCCCCAGCUCUUCCUUCUGACAGAGGUAGGCCAUGCCUGGACUGUUAGAAAGACAGGGCGCUCAGUGGUUGGGCAGGUUUCCUUGUCAGCCACAGCCCCUGCCCACAGUGAAGCUGAUCUCACACAGAACCAGGCACAAAGAACAGUCAAAUUCCAUGGAAGGUAGGCGCAGGGUGCAGGGACGUCUCAUUAAAAUACGGAGAGACCAAUAACUCUUUGCAGGACAGCAAGCCACACCUUAGAGUUAACAGACCUGAUUUAACUUAAAAUAACCAUGAAAAGAGCGAUGGGGGUACAGCAUCGAGAGAAGAGAGGAGAGAGAGAGAGAGAGAGAGAGAGAGAGAGAGAGAGAGAGAGAGAGAGAGACCCACAAAGUUAAUGAAGAUCUCCAUCCCCCACCUCCACUCCAUGUCUGCAGGCCUCUCUUGAGCACUUAACACAUCAGGCGGGAGCCGGCUAAGCAGAGACUCACUGGUGAAGAUUUUUGAUGGAAGAUUAUCAAGGUGUGGAAGUUGCAAAUGGCUUUCAAGGUCUCUCUCCAUCUGCUCUGACCUUAGGAGAAUGACCCUGAGACCACCUGUGUCCCCAGACAUGGAGAAUGGGAAGAGGGUCUUGCCUUCAUAGUGUGCAGUCAAAGCACUCCACCGUGCAGCAACAGAGUAUCUCAUCUCAGCCGAGAUGGAGAGGCAACCAUUCGUCUCUCCUCCGAAAGCUACCACCGAUGUUGGUUGACCUCCAUUACUGAACUGGUACAGAUUAGCUGAACUGCCACUGGAAAAUUGAUCCCAGCCUGUUACGAUUGGAGAGGCCAGUGACACACAAAAUGUCCAGAGCUGGAGAUGGAGUCGGGGGACGACAUGGGACCGUCCGAGUGCCCACUGGGGUCAUAAUUGCUGCUGCUAAGUGGCAUUCAGAAAUGAAGAGGUGGCUUAAGAAUUAAGAGGUAGUAAGUGCAAAGAGAAGGCCACAGAUUUGAGGUGGGGGGAGAUCUCAGAGGCAGCGAUGUCUGGGAGGAGCCAUGAGAUGCAUCGUCUGCAAGACCAAGGUCAAGACUUGACAGCCUCAGUGAUGUAUCAAUAACGUGGUGCCAGGGAGAAAGUGACAAGUGAAGCAAGGUCAAGUCAAGGUCGCCUGCAAGGUCACUCGCUUAUGUCUCUGCCUCCAAUGCUGACAUCCACUUCAAAUCCAGCCUUAAUGAGAAACAAUGGCCGCCAUGUGAGCCCCCAGUGGACCUUUGAGGCGGUCCACUUGGAUGGUCCCUGCAGUGCGUAUCAUGGGCAUCAUGGUCAAUGCCUGCUACACCUCUUCCCUUCUUGGUGCACCAAUUCAUCCAUUGCUCCUUAGGAGGCAAGGCAAGCAAGGGGACCUUCCUAACCUGAGGGAGGCAGUUUCCGUUGGCAGUCUGAUAAAUCAGGCUGUAGAAAGCCAGGAAAAAAAAAACUGCCCAACUCCAGCCUUGCUUCCUCUAGCCUGGUUUCUGAUUGGACAGAAGACAGAGGGCAAAUGGCUUUUACAGCUAUGACUGAUGUCUGACUAUAAAAUGGUCUGUAACCAGAAAUGCCAACUGACAUGCUUGCUGAUUUAACGGACACCCAGGGUUAUGUUUGUUGAGUCGCUUAAGUAAACAUGUGCUGGGUUUGAGGGCG